GAUGAAGAACGUAGCGAAAUGCGAUAAGUAAUGUGAAUUGCAGAAUUCAGUGAAUCAUCGAAUCUUUGAACGCACAUUGCGCCCCUUGGUAUUCCGAGGGGCAUGCCUGUUCGAGCGUCAUUAUAACCCCUCAAGCUCAGCUUGGUGUUGGGGCCUGCCGCACGGGCAGCCCUUAAAAUCAGUGGCGGUGCCAUCUGGCUCUAAGCGUAGUAAUUCUUCUCGCUAUAGAGUCCCGGUGGAUGCUUGCCAUUAACCCCCAAUUUUCUAUGGUUGACCUCGGAUCAGGUAGGAAUACCCGCUGAACUUAAGCAUAUCAAUAAGCGGAGGA
rnacentral:misc_RNA from 1 species